CAAUAGCGUAUAUUAAAGUUGUUGCAGUUAAAAAGCUCGUAGUUGAAUUUCUGGCCGGUCUCGUUCACGGCAUUAGUCGGCUCGUAGGCCUGGUCAUCCGUAGGGGAACCGUAUGCGGUCUUCAGUGGUCGGUGCGCGGAACCUACAUUUUACUGUGAAAAAAUUAGAGUGCUCCAGGCAGGCAAUCGCUUGGAUACUCCAGCAUGGAAUAAUGGAAUAGGACUCUGGACUAUUCGUUGGUUUGAGUACAGAGUAAUGAUUAAUAGGGACAGUUGGGGGCAUUCGUAUUUAAUUGUCAGAGGUGAAAUUCUUGGAUUUAUUAAAGACGAACUUAUGCGAAAGCAUUUGCCAAGGAUGUUUUCAUUAA
rnacentral:rRNA from 1 species